CUCGAGUAGGGCCCAAGCAAGCCAGGAAGGAGGAGGCAGCCAGAGUGUUCUCUGCAGCAGAAGACCCCUUGCUGCCCUGCUUAACCCAGACCAGCAUUUGCCAGAGAAAUCUUGGCAUAAAUACAUAGGAAUCUUGAACAAGAACAAUUGCCUUUAGCAGCCAACACUGUAAGUCAUCCGCAAGCUGUCAUCAGGAACUGAAAUGCGUCUGCAUAUUUGGUACCAUGUUUGGCUGCCUAAUCAAAACAAUAUGUAAACUGUUGGCAAGAAGGAGGGCUUGCCAAGCCAAAAUUAUUUACAAGUUACAUCUGUGUUUCUGGAAGUUGUUGGAGAAGAAAAAUGGAAAAGGGCAAACAGUUUAACUGGAAGGCAACAUCUCUCCGACUCAGUUCUCCAUGAGAGGUCUGCCAAAGGUAUGUUCGGGAGGCGUCUGAGCAUUCCCCGGUUGCCAUUAGCAUGUAUUGUAAAGGAAAACGUCCAAGAAAAUGUCUGCUUGUACACUUGACAUCUGAGCUGACAG